GGAAGUACACACACAAGAAAAUCCACACACACAGAAGUAUGCAUACACAAAAGUACAGACAAAGGAAGUACUCAUUGCAUGAAUGACAGGCUUUUCACAAACAGAAAUGCUAACAGAAAGGUGAAAGGCCCUCCACAGAGGCAGUGGCCCAAUCCUGGAUUUUCCAGCCACCCAAACACAUUGCCUGGCUGCUUUCUGGGAGACCAAUUCACUAUCACUUAGUCUCCAGGGACAGAAACAAGAGGAGUGGCUCGAAAUUGUUCCAGAAGUGGUUUUGAGGAAGAAGACAACUGAUUAAUUCAAGAUUUCUUUUCCUAUAUAGAUUGCAGGAGGGAAGAAGUUUGGUGGAAAAUUUCAUCCAUGAUGAACUAUGGAAAGGUUAUUUAUUGAGAUCUAUUUGCUUGGCAUGUGGCCCUUUUUAGCUAUUUUAUUCAAUCCUUGUAUCUACCUCCACAAAUUGAGAAUCAUAUGCCUUUUUCAG